rnacentral:tRNA from 1 species
GGGGAAGUGCUGGAACUGGCAGACAGGCGUGACUUAGGAUCACGUGCCGCGAGGCGUGCGGGUUCGAGUCCCGCCUUCCCCA